rnacentral:rRNA from 1 species
UACAGAGGGUGCGAGCGUUGUCCGGAAUCACUGGGCGUAAAGGGCGCGGUAGGUGGCGACCCAAGGUCGAUGGUGAAAGCUCGCCGCUCAAGCGGCCGAGUCGGCCACCGAUACUGGGUUGCUGGAGCACUGUAGAGGCAGAUGGAAUUCCGGGUGUAGCGGUGGAAUGCGUAGAGACUCGGAAGAACACCGGUGGCGAAGGCGGUCUGCUGGGCAGUUGCUGACGC